rnacentral:rRNA from 1 species
AUUGAACGCUGGCGGCAGGCCUAACACAUGCAAGUCGAGCGGAUGAAGGGAGCUUGCUCCUGGAUUCAGCGGCGGACGGGUGGGUAAUGCCUAGGAAUCUACCUGGUAGUGGGGGAUAACGUCCGGAAACGGGCGCUAAUACCGCAUACGUCCUGAGGGAGAAAGUGGGGGAUCUUCGGACCUCACGCUAUCAGAUGAGCCUAGGUCGGAUUAGCUAGUUGGUGGGGUAAAGGCCUACCAAGGCGACGAUCCGUAACUGGUCUGAGAGGAUGAUCAGUCACACUGGAACUGAGACACGGUCCAGACUCCUACGGGAGGCAGCAGUGGGGAAUAUUGGACAAUGGGCGAAAGCCUGAUCCAGCCAUGCCGCGUGUGUGAAGAAGGUCUUCGGAUUGUAAAGCACUUUAAGUUGGGAGGAAGGGCAGUAAGUUAAUACCUUGCUGUUUUGACGUUACCAACAGAAUAAGCACCGGCUAACUUCGUG